rnacentral:sRNA from 1 species
AAAAUACCAGAAACGAAAAAAUACCAGACAAAUAAAAUUUAAGAUUAAAUUAAUCGAUAGGCGAGGAAGUCCCAUCACUACUUACGCAUACCAUCUCUACUAUAAAGUAGCGUGGGUGAAGCCGGCAAAGACGCGUGAAAUGGAACCGACAAAGAAGCAUAAAGACGUACUCCCUGGAGGUCAUCAAGAGGAUUUACUGGCAGCAUUUGGCCGGCGUCCCCGGAAUUCUCGGAAGCGCCAUCAGUAAGUUCUCAGAAGGGGACGCCUCGGCCCGACGCCCAUACAUAUUGCGGCGUCACAUAUUUGGCACGCAGCAUUUAAAUUGCAUGCAGUGGCUGUGGCAGCAACAUCGGCGUCCAACAGGAAAAUGCCGCCGGCGGCACAUUGGCGUCGACGUCGGCAGCAGCAUCGCCUCAGACGGGCGUCGGUGUCGGCGUCUCACGUAGGCCGCGCCGUUUCCAAGAAGCGUUGCUAUGGAACAGCGUCGGCGGAGACAUGGCCCGCAAUAUGAGCUACAUGUUUUCGGGAAUCGUCAGUUCCAGCUAGCGUCGAGGGAAAGAAAACAUGUUCGCCACAUACAUGCGAGCAGAUUUAGAGGAAAUCUGUAACCGCGGCUAAGUAGGCA